AGACCCGCGUCUCACCCCGGGCCGGAAGGGCUCCUGCGCAGGCGUUUGUAGCCACUUUUAAGUUUUAUCAGCUAGUUCAUGCUUGCGUUGAAAGAGUGGUCGUUUGCGCUGGGUCAUCACUGUGUAGUAUUGGGGAUACUUAGGUGAGAAAAAAACUUAACGCUAGAGACGUUCACGCACUAGUGGAGAAGCCAGGAUUGUUGCCCUAGAGUUACAGUAGAUAAAAGUACCUCAGAGAACUGCGGGGGCUCCCAACCUGGACGCUUGCACCGGAGUAUUAAAUCCAGCUAGAGAAUGGCAUGUGCAAAGAUACAGAGCUUUUAGAAGUUGCCUGCAUUCCUUGGCCCCUUCCUCACAUCAUUCCAACCAACUUCCAUCCUUACAAUCGAUUACUUUCCUGUAAUAGCUACAGUCAAAUGGGCAGCUGAAGAUGAUGAUGAUGAUGAUCUUGACACCGAGAAGCAGAAGACCAAUGAAGAUGACCAGACAGCAAAAAAGGAUAAGUUAAAAGAAGUAUUCCAUUGUGUUGUUAAAUACUAAUUUACUUAUUUAAUAAGUUCUCAACUGAUGGUAAUUUAGGUUACCAACUUUUUUGCUAUUAUAAAUAAUACAAGGGUAAACAUCUUUGUACAUACAUACAUGUUUGCAUAAUGUGUAAGAAGAGAUGUAAGAUAAAUUUCGAGAACUGGAAAUACUGCAUUAAAGGGUUUGCACAUUUAAAA
rnacentral:lncRNA from 1 species